UGGGAUUAGAUACCCUGUUAUUUAAAAUGUAAUUAUAAAGACUAAGGUAGUAUUAGAUAUGUUCUUUAAACUUAAAAAAUUUGGCGGUAUUUUAGUCUAUUCAGAGGAACCUGUUUUGUAAUCGAUAAUCCACGAUGGACCUUACUUAAGUUUGUUAAUCAGUUUAUAUACCGUUGUUAUUAGAAUAUUUUAUAAGAAUGUUAAUUUUCAUAAUUUUUUUAUAAAAAGUAUAUCAAAUCAAGGUGUAGCUUAUAUUUAAGUAUAAAUGGGUUACAAUAAAUUUAUUUAAGCGGAUAUAAAUUUGAAAUAUUUAUUAAAGAUGGAUUUGAUAGUAAAAUUAUAUAGAUUAAUAAUUUGAUUUUAGCUCUAAAAUAUGCACAAAUCGCCCGUCACUCUCUGA
rnacentral:rRNA from 1 species